rnacentral:rRNA from 1 species
AACGAACGCUGGCGGCGUGGAUAAGACAUGCAAGUCGGACGCUGAUUGCCGGGUAGCAAUAUUCGGCGGCCGGAGUGGCGAAAGGGUGCGUAACACGUGGGCAAUCUGCCGUGAAGUCGGGGAUAACUUGCUGAAAGGCGAGCUAAUACCGGAUGUGGUUUUGGGAGGGCAUCUUUCUGGAACCAAAGUUGGGGACCGCAAGGCCUGACGCUUCAUGAUGAGCCCGCGGCCUAUCAGCUAGUUGGUGAGGUAAUGGCUCACCAAGGCAAAGACGGGUAGCUGGUCUGAGAGGACGACCAGCCACACUGGAACUGAGACACGGUCCAGACACCUACGGGUGGCUGCAGUCGAGAAUUUUUCACAAUGGGCGAAAGCCUGAUGGAGCGACGCCGCGUGGGGGAUGAAUGGCUUCGGCCCGUAAACCCCUGUCAUUUGCGAACAAACCUUUCCACCCAACACGUGGAGAGCUGAUUGUAGCGAAAGAGGAAGGGACGGCUAACU